rnacentral:rRNA from 1 species
UACGAAGGGGGCUAGCGUUGCUCGGAAUGACUGGGCGUAAAGGGCGCGUAGGCGGUUUGUUCAGUCAGGUGUGAAAUUCCCGGGCUCAACCUGGGGGCUGCACUUGAUACGUAUGGACUGGAGUGGGGAAGAGGGUCGUGGAAUUCCCAGUGUAGAGGUGAAAUUCGUAGAUAUUGGGAAGAACACCGGUGGCGAAGGCGGCGACCUGGUCCUUGACUGACGCUGAGGCGCGAAAGCCAGGGGAGCAAACGGG